UACGAAGGGUGCUAGCGUUGUUCGGAAUUACUGGGCGUAAAGCGCACGUAGGCGGCAACUCAAGUCAGGGGUGAAAUCCUGGGGCUUAACCCCAGAAUUGCCUUUGAAACUGUGUUGCUAGAGUGUCGGAGGGGAUAGCGGAAUUGCUAAUGUAGAGGUGAAAUUCGUAGAUAUUAGCAGGAACACCGGUGGCGAAGGCGGCUAUCUGGACGACAACUGACGCUGAGGCGCGAAAGCGUGGGGAUCAAACAGG
rnacentral:rRNA from 1 species